rnacentral:rRNA from 1 species
GACGAACGCUGGCGGCGUGCUUAACACAUGCAAGUCGAACGGAAAGGCCCUGCUUCUGUGGGGUGCUCGAGUGGCGAACGGGUGAGUAACACGUGAGUAACCUGCCCUUGACUUUGGGAUAACUUCAGGAAACUGGGGCUAAUACCGGAUAGGAGCUCCUGCUGCAUGGUGGGGGUUGGAAAGUUUCGGCGGUUGGGGAUGGACGCGCGGCUUAUCAGCGUGUUGGUGGGGUAGUGGCUUACCAAGGCUUUGACGGGUAGCCGGCCUGAGAGGGUGACCGGCCACAUGGGGACUGAGAUACGGCCCAGACUCCUAUGGGAGGCAGCAGUGGGGAAUAUUGUACAAUGGGCGGAAGCCUGAUGAGGCAACGCCGCGUGCGGGAUGACGGCCUUCGGGUUGUAAACCGCGUUCGCCUGUGACGAAGCGUGAGUGACGGUAAUGGGUAAAGAAGCACCGGCUAACUACGUG